GGCGGGUUAUCUCAGUGGCUAAAGCUUAGAUCUUGUGACCCGAAGGUCCCGGGAUCAAAUCCCGCCAGACGCAG
rnacentral:tRNA from 1 species